rnacentral:rRNA from 1 species
UACGUAGGGUGCAAGCGUUGCCCGGAUUUAUUGGGCGUAAAGGGCGCGUAGGCGGCUCGGCACGUCCGUUGUGAAAUCGCCCGGCUCAACUGGGCGGGGUCAGCGGAUACGGCCGAGCUUGAGCAAGCUAGGGGGCAAUGGAAUUCCCGGUGUAGUGGUGGAAUGCGUAGAUAUUGGGAAGAACACCGGUGGCGAAGGCGGCGACCUGGUCCGACACUGACGCUGAGGCGCGAAAGCGUGGGAAGCAAACAGG